rnacentral:rRNA from 1 species
GACGAACGCUGGCGGCGUGCUUAACACAUGCAAGUCGAGCGGUAAGGCCCUUUCGGGGGUACGACGAGCGGCGAACGGGUGAGUAACACGUGGGUGACCUGCCUUUAGUCUCUGGGAUAAGCCUGGGAAACUGGGUCUAAUACCGGAUACGACUCCGCGGUGCAUGCUGUGGGGUGGAAAGCCUUGUGCGGCUGGAGAUGGGCCCGCGGCCUAUCAGCUUGUUGGUGGGGUGAUGGCCUACCAAGGCGACGACGGGUAGCCGGCCUGAGAGGGCGACCGGCCACACUGGGAC